rnacentral:misc_RNA from 1 species
UCUCCGUUGGUGAACCAGCGGAGGGAUCAUUAAAGAGUUGAAAGACUCCCAAAACCACUGUGGACUUUACCUUUUAUCGUUGCUUCGGCGGUGAACGGGUUUAGGGUGCCCUUUACUUUUUCGGUGGGGGGACCCGACCAGCGAGCCGCCGGAGGUUACCUAAACUUUGUAUUUAUGUAGUGUAUCUCUGAGCAUUAAAAAACAAGUCAAAACUUUCAACAACGGAUCUCUUGGUUCUG